CUUUGAUAGCUAAAGCAGUGUUCAAUCUGCUUUUAGUUACAUCCUUCUUAUGUUCCUCUAACUUUUGGGCCAGGGUUUGAUUCAUCACCCCUAUAUAUGAUGCUGUCUACUGUGUUUUCUCAUCCUUCAUUGGGGGGAUUCUGUAUUACUUUUGUCUUUUUAUUCUCUUUCCAAGAAUCCUUUUCAUUUCUUAAGAUGUUAAAUACUAUGGGACCCCUCAAAGUUACUUGUUUACUCUCCUUCUUAGCCAGCUUGUUUACAAAAUCAUAUCCUUUUAGAUUGUGUGGUACAGCUAGGUAACCCUGAUGUUUCUUAGACCUAGUUGGAUGUAUUGUUACUUGUAGGUCAUUAUUUAAUCUUGGUGCAAGCCUCUUUCUUUUCCUAUGGUAUAUACUUAAAUGAUUUACUUUAUCCAUGUUGCUUUCUCACUUCUACAAUGUAAUUUACCUCUUUAUUCAAUUCUUCCUCUCCCAUAAUGUAUAAAAUAAUAUAGUAUAGUUGUAAUUCUUGGUGUAUAUGGUACUGAUGAGGGACUGAUAGUGUCCGAAAAUGUUACGCC
rnacentral:lncRNA from 1 species